rnacentral:lncRNA from 10 species
AUUCCUUCCCCGCAUCUGCUAGAGAGCAGGGCAAGGCCAAAGGGUCAGAGGCUCGAGGAAUGCGGGGUGGUGUCGGGGGGUAAAAGGACAUACCUGAGAAGGCCCCAGACCCUCGCUCCACCAGGAGGAACUUGAAGGGCCAGUUCCAGAGACCCUGUGACCUCAGGCUCCAGAGAUGGCUCCGUAAGGCAAACUCACCAUGACCACUGGUCAAUGACUCACUUCUCCUCCCAGGCGCCCUCCCAGGGAUGAGCGCUCCUUCACUCUGCCUCCCUCAGCCCUUGCUCCGGUCUCUCUGCAGCUGGGGUCAGUGUUCCCAGUGAAGUCAGCGUGUGGAGCACACAUGCCUCGUACCCACAUUCAUGCCCAUGUGUGCGUGUGCACACGCAUGUGGGGCCUGUGUGUCUCUUUCUCUGAGACCCACUCAAGAUCUGCAUGCACCUCGGGCCCCCUCCCAGAGUGCUGCAGCCAGAUGCACCUGGAGCCCCACCCGUCAGCCCAGGGAGACAUGCCCCUGCUGAAUUCAGAGAAUGAUCCAGAAGGAUUCAGGAAAUGAGGACCAUUCAUGAACCCAGCGACUGAUGAAGAGCACCUUCCUCACAUCCGCUGCCAAACUCACCCGAAAAGAAGAGACAGAGGAAGACCCCAGAGGAUUGCAAUUUGAGGACACCUCCAACUCAUGCUCACUGCACUUGGUCCAAAAUGAUCAGAGGGGAGAUUUGGCUCAUGCUCUGGCCUCACUGGCUCCCAUCACCAUUGCCUCUGCCCCUCCAGCCUCUGCCAGGCGCCUGGCUCUGACCCUUGCUGACACUUCAGGCCCCUCACCCUUAGAACUGACUGCCAAAGGGCUAGUUGCUUAGUCUUCAAGUAAAGGGGGUCUGGAGGACUAUGGAGGAGGCAUAGUGCCUAGAGAGCCCCUCGCCUCAAGACACCCCCACUGCACUUGGGAGGAAAGGCAGGGCUGGGGGAUGGAGGCACUGUGGGGGCCUUUCCUAUUUGGCAGCAGCUGCAGCCAUGCGCACCAUAGCCACAGCACGCAGCACACAUCUUCUGUCUCACAGUGAUUGAAGAUUUUGCCAAACCACCGGUCAGACAGAUUUCCCCCCAAGCCCCACAUUAAUUGAUUUUUGGAUUCUGCAACCCAAGCUCAAGCUCAAGCUCCGAGCUCACUGCUGAGCUCAGACUCCUGGGUGUCCCACAACGGCUUCGAUGUGGAGGCCAUGACGCUGAAGCCAAAGUUGUCAGACACCUGGGCUGCACUUGCCUGUGCAACGAGCCUGGGAAAGCAGCUCUGGGGAUUGCACCCACAGUGCCAGGGCUCGGGAGCCUCUGAGCUCAGGGAGGCCUUCAGGGACAGGCGCUCGGCCAGCUGCCUGGGUAGGCUACUAAUGAGCAGAUGUGUUCCAGGCUGUCUGCCCAAGGGGCAGCUGCACCUGGGCUGGAGAGCUGAGACUCUCUGGGGUUCUGCAGCCUCUGUCCUCCUCAGCCUGGCCCGACAGCCCCUCGUUCUGAUACAGGAGGGCACAGCUGCCUGACGCCCCUCCUUCCCCAUCUCUGCCUCUCUAAUCUUCCUUGAGGAAGAUUCCAUCAGAGGUUUUACUUACAUAUUCCUACACCAUGCCUGGAACAUAGUAGGUACUCAAUAAAUCCAACUUUUCCUGAGUUAGUGGUGAGGAAAAGCUGGACUCAGGAUCAGGCUGCCUGUGAAGCCUGGCCUGUAGCCUGCCAGCUCUCCCAGCCUCAGGGUCCUCACACCCACACGUGUGUGCAGUAACAGAGCACUUCUUGCCUGCAACAGUGCCUGGUUCCCAGUGUAUGCCACUGGGAUCCGUAUUAUUAUUAAGUGAUCCGUAUUAUUAUUUUAUCUUAAGAGAGGAAUCCAGCUGUGUCCAAAUGAGGGGUUGGGACAAAAUAAAAGCUAGAAUCCAGUCUUGCAGGUGGGGACAUGGCACCUGGGUCUCCACACUGACCCGUGCUGCCCACCCUCUCACAUGCUAUCUAGAGACGGCACUCCUUGUGGAAUGCUGCAGGAGGUGCUCCACUGGCACGAAGUGGGUGGGCUCUUAGCACAGACCCAAACAGUAAGUGACUUUUCACACUCCCAUCGCAUCUCCAAAGCUACAUGCAAAACACUGAUCUUCACAGGGGUUAGAACACAACUUCCAGAAGGCCUCUUUCUUUUUUUUUUUUUUCUCCCUUUUUUUUUUUUAUUAUUAUACUUUAAGUUCUGAGAUACAUGUGCAGAACAUGCAGGUUUGUUACAUAGGUAUACAAGAGCCAUGGUGGUUUGCUGCACCCAUCAACCCGUCAUCUACAUUACGUAUUUCUCCUAAUGCUAUCCCUCCCCUAACCCCCAACCCCCUGGCAGGCCCCAGUGUGUGAUGUUCCCCUCCCUGUGUUCAUGUGCUCUCACUGUUCAACUCCCACUUAUGAGGGAGAACAAGCAGUGUUUGGUUUUCUGUUCCUGUGUUAGUUUGCUGAGAAUGAUGGUUUCCAGCUUCAUCCAUGUCCCUGCAAAGGACAUGAAGUCAUCCUUUUUGAUGGCUGUAUAGUAUUCCAUGGUGUAUAUGUGCCAUGUUUUCUUUAUCCAGUCUAUCAUUGAUGGGCAUUUGGGUUGGUUCCAAGUCUUUGUUAUUGUGAACAGUGCUGCAAUAAACAUACGUGUGCAUGCGUCUUUAUAGUAGAAUAAUUGAUAAUCCUUUUGUUAUAUACCCAGUAAUGGCAUUGUUGGGUCAAAUGGUAUUUCUUGUUCUAGAUCCUUGAGGAAUCGCCACACUGUCUUUCACAAUGGUUGAACUGGUUUACACUCCCACCAACAGUGUAAAAGCAUGCCUAUUUUUCCACAUCCUCUCCAGCAUCUGUUGUUGCCUGACUUUUUAAUGAUCACCAUUCUAACUAGCAUGAGAUGGUAUCUCAUUAUGGUUUUGAUUUGCAUUUCUCUAAUGACCAUUUCUCUAAUGAUGAGCUUUUUUUCAUAUGUUUGUUGGCUGCAAAAAUGUCUUCUUUUGAGAAGUGUCCAUUCAUAUCUUUUGCCCAUUUUUUGAGUGGGGUUGCUUUUUUCUUAUAAACUUGUUAAAGUUCCUUAUAGAUUCUGGAUAUUAGCCCUUUGUCAGAUGGAUAGAUUGCAAAAAUUUUCUCCCAUUCUGUAGGUUGUCUGUUCACUCUGAUGAUAGUUUCUUUUGCUGUGCAGAAGCUCUUUAGUUUAAUUAGAU